GGGAGCUAAUUGGUACACACAAGGGACACUGAUAACGACAACAGGUGGCGAAAAAAGGGCACAUGAGGAAUCAAAACCAAACGUAACCAGACUGAAACAUAACAAAUACGAAAUGAAAGA